GCAUUGCUGAAGAGUCUCGCAAUAGGACGAAACGACCGUCCAAUGC
rfam:Schistosoma mansoni strain Puerto Rico chromosome 4, complete genome